rnacentral:SRP_RNA from 1 species
GCCAGGCGCAGUGGUGCAUGCCUAUAGUCCCAGCUACUCGGGAGGCUGAGGUGGGAGGAUUGCUUGAGCCCAGGAGUUCUGGGCUGUAGUGCGCUAUGCAGAUCAGGUGUCCGCACUAAGUUCAGCAUCAAUAUAGUGACCUCCUGGGAGUGGGGGACCACCAGGUUGCCUAAGGAGGGAUGAACCGGCCCAGGUCGGAAAUAGAGCAGGUCAAAACUCCCAUGCUGAUCAGUAGUGGGAUCGUGCCUGUGAAUAGCCACUGCACUCCAGCCUGGGCAGCAUAGCAAGACCCCGUCUCU